GACGAACCGUGCGACCGUUGUUCGGAUUCACUGGGCUUAAAGGGCGCGUAGGCGGGUGAUCAAGUCCGGGGUGAAAUCCUUCAGCUCAACUGGAGAAUAGCCUUGGAUACUGGUCGCCUCGAGGGAGGUAGGGGCGGGCGGAACUUCCGGUGGAGCGGUGAAAUGCGUUGAUAUCCACAGGAACUCCGGUGGCGAAGGCGGCACGCUGGACCUUUUCUGACGCUGAGGCGCGAAAGCCAGGGGAGCGAACGGG
rnacentral:rRNA from 1 species